AACCGCGGUUAUACGAGAGACCCAAAUUGAUGUAGCACGGCGUAGAGUGUGAUUAGAGAAAAGCUCAAACUAAAGCCAAAUACCCUUUAUGCUGUCAUACGCCAUGAGGGUCACGAAGCCCAACGACGAAAGUGGCUUUAUAAUUCUUGAACUCACGACAGCCAGGGCA
rnacentral:rRNA from 1 species